CCUGGACUCACUUUGUAGGCCAGACUGGCCUCAAACUCACAGAGAUCUGCCUGCCUCUGCCUUCUGAGAGCUGGCAU
ensembl:miRNA predicted gene, 23813